rnacentral:rRNA from 1 species
CCUACGGGGGGCAGCAGUAGGGAAUUUUCGUCAAUGGGCGCAAGCCUGAACGAGCAAUGCCGCGUGAACGAGGAAGGUCUUCGGAUCGUAAAGUUCUGUUGACGGGGAAAAAGAGCGGAGAGAGGAAAUGGUCUCCGAUUGAUAUUACCCUUCGAGGAAGUCACGGCUAACUACGUGCCAGCAGCCGCGGUAAUACGUAGGUGGCGAGCGUUAUCCGGAAUGAUUGGGCGUAAAGGGUGCGUAGGCGGCCUGCUAAGUCUGGAGUGAAAGGUACCGGCUCAACCGGUACAGGCUCUGGAAACUGGCGGGCUAGAGAGCAGGAGAGGGCGGUGGAACUCCAUGGGUAGCGGUAAAAUGCGUAGAUAUAUGGAAGAACACCAGUGGCGAAGGCGGCCGCCUGGCAUGUUGACUGACGCUGAGGCACGAAGGCGUGGGGAGCAAAUAGGAUUAGAUACCCCAGUAGUC